ACGUGAGUGACCUGCCUUUGACUCUGGGAUAAGCCUGGGAAACUGGGUCUAAUACCGGAUGCGACUACUGCCCGCAUGGGCUGGUGGUGGAAAGGGUUAUGUACUGGUCUUAGAUGGGCUCACGGCCUAUCAGCUGGUUGGUGGGGUAAUGGCCUACCAAGGCGACGACGGGUAGCCGGCCUGAGAGGGUGACCGGCCACACUGGGACUGAGACACGGCCCAGACUCCUACGGGAGGCAGCAGUGGGGAAUAUUGCACAAUGGGCGCAAGCCUGAUGCAGCGACGCCGCGUGAGGGAUGACGGCCUUCGGGUUGUAAACCUCUUUCAGCAGGGAAGAAGCGGAAGUGACGGUACCUGCAGAAGAAGCGCCGGCUAACUACGUGCCAGCAGCCGCGGUAAUACGUAGGGCGCAAGCGUUGUCCGGAAUUAUUGGGCGUAAAGAGCUCGUAGGCGGCUUGUCGCGUCUGCUGUGAAAGCCCGGGGCUUAACUCCGGGUGUGCAGUGGGUACGGGCAGGCUAGAGUGCAGUAGGGGUAACUGGAAAUUCCGGGGUGUAGCGGUGAAAUGCGCAGAUAUCAGGAGGAACACCGAUGGCGAAGGGCAGGUUACUGGGCUGUUACUGACGCUGAGGAGCGAAAGCAUGGGGAGCGAACAGGAUUAGAUACCCUGGUAGUCCAUGCCGUAAACGUUGGCACUAGGUUGUGGGGGACAUUCCACGUUUUCGCGCGUAGCUAACGCAUUAAGUGCCCCGCCUGGGGAGUACGGCCGCAAGGCUAAAACUCAAAGGAAUUGACGGGGGCCCGCACAAGCGGCGGAGCAUGCGGAUUAAUUCGAUGCAACGCGAAGAACCUUACCAAGGCUUGACAUACACCGGAUCGUUCCAGAGAUGGUUCUUCCCUUUUGGGCUGGUGUACAGGUGGUGCAUGGUUGUCGUCAGCUCGUGUCGUGAGAUGUUGGGUUAAGUCCCGCAACGAGCGCAACCCUCGUUCUAUGUUGCCAGCACGUGAUGGUGGGGACUCAUAGGAGACUGCCGGGGUCAACUCGGAGGAAGGUGGGGAUGACGUCAAAUCAUCAUGCCCCUUAUGUCUUGGGCUUCACGCAUGCUACAAUGGCCGGUACAAUGGGUUGCGAUACUGUGAGGUGGAGCUAAUCCCAAAAAGCCGGUCUCAGUUCGGAUUGGGGUCUGCAACUCGACCCCAUGAAGUCGGAGUCGCUAGUAAUCGCAGAUCAGCAACGCUGCGGUGAAUACGUUCCCGGGCCUUGUACACACCGCCCGUCAAGUCACGAAAGUU
rnacentral:rRNA from 1 species